rfam:Cochliobolus sativus ND90Pr unplaced genomic scaffold COCSAscaffold_16, whole genome shotgun sequence.
UGCAAUGAUGAUUUCUGAGAUAGGGACAACUGAUGCUUCGGCAUUUGAGGUGAUCUCUCGAAAGCAUUUUAGUAGAUGUACUUUCUUUCUGAUA